ACUGCAUAAUUUGUGGUAGUGGGGGACUG
rnacentral:piRNA from 5 species